CGGUUAGGUGGCCCAUGGAGCAGGCGGUGGGGAGAGGGAAUCAUUGAGCGGCAGCGGAGCAGGCAAGAAGGCAGGCAGCUAAGAGCGGGGUCCUGAGGGAGGGCGCUGUUGGCAUGGCGACCUUAGGGUGUAGGGCCCUCGCUGAGGUAAACGGCGCGUCCAUUGGGGACCAGGGGCAGAAGGAGAGGGGGGGUGUCACUGCCAGGGACGCGUUUCGCAAGUACAUAGCGAAGAACAGCUAUGUCUGCAGGAGCAUGAAAGUGAUCAUCCCCUGAACUGAGCACUGGUUGGCUUGGCCUCAACUGAUGCACAUUUCUGUGCUCUUUGACUACUGAAUGCUCGCAGGGAAGGAAAAUCGACACCAGAGAAGAGGGCGUGACUGUCAGGCAACACUGUAGAUUCCAUAAAGCCAUGAGCAACCUGCUCUAGUGUCACAGCUGAGGCUGUGUCGAGCAGGAGACUGGAAUUUAUAGCCUCCUGAGAUCCUGUCCAACCUGAACUACCAAGUGAGUCACUAUUGGAUCAUCCAAGCAGCUGAGCUUCAGCUGAGGAGUCUGCGAAGUGGAUUAUUGUCCCAAUUCAGAACUGCUUCUAGCAGAGAACAGGGGAGGAGGGGGAAUCCUUGCCAUUUAUCAACAGGCAGCAGAACCUUCAGAUUUGGCUGCUUGACAGGAGAAGAUGCUGUUCCAGCCUCAGGAUUUGAUUUCAUUCUCUCAUAAAUCUGAGUGCAAAAUUCUUACUGCCAAAAUUGUUUAAAAGCAAA